rnacentral:rRNA from 1 species
UACGGAGGGAGCUAGCGUUGUUCGGAAUUACUGGGCGUAAAGCGCGCGUAGGCGGCUUUGUAAGUUAGAGGUGAAAGCCCGGGGCUCAACCCCGGAACAGCCUUUAAGACUGCAUCGCUAGAAUCCGGGAGAGGUGAGUGGAAUUCCGAGUGUAGAGGUGAAAUUCGUAGAUAUUCGGAAGAACACCAGUGGCGAAGGCGGCUCACUGGACCGGCAUUGACGCUGAGGUGGCGAAAGCGUGGGAGGCAA